rnacentral:rRNA from 1 species
AUGGGUUCUGUUCUCUAUGCAGGAGUUUCAAGUGCAGCAAGGGAGGAAGGGCGUGUUCUUGGUACAGCCAGUGCACCCUACUACAUAACACAGAAAGGCCUGCUUAAAAAGCAGCUUCUGCGUACCUGUGGAGCCCUUGUAGUUACUGGCUUUGCAAUCUAUGGCCUUAAGGUUUUGAUUGAUAUGUGUGACGACACAGAAGUUGGUAAAUUUGAUGCUUUGAAACAAGCGGCUGCGGAUUUAAGCACAAAAUUCAGUGACGUAAAGGGGGUCGACGAAGCCAAGGCUGACCUUGAGGACAUAGUUCUCUACCUGCGAGACCCCAAGAGUUUCACUCGCCUUGGUGGCAAGCUUCCAAAGGGUGUUUUGCUUACAGGCCCACCCGGCACAGGGAAGACCAUGUUGGCAAGGGCCAUGGCCGCGGAAGCCGGCGUCCCGUUCUUUGCAUGCAGUGGGAGUGAUUUUGAGGAGGUGUAUGUGGGUCUUGGGGCUAAGAGAGUACGGGAGCUCUUUCGUGUAGCAAAGAAGCGAUCUCCUUGCAUAAUAUUCAUCGAUGAGAUCGACGCCGUUGCUGGACGCAGACAUGCAUCAGACCCGUCGUGGCAGAGGCAGACCAUGAACCAGCUGCUUUCUGAGAUGGAUGGCUUCAGGCAGAAUGAAGGGAUAAUCGUGAUCGCAGCGACAAACUUCCCGGAGUCGCUAGAUAAAGCCAUUGCUAGGCCUGGGCGUCUUGACCGUCAAAUCCAUGUUCCUACUCCAUAUGUUGAGGGCCGACGGCAGAUCCUUGAGGCUUACAUGUCAAAGGUCCGUAAAGCCUAG